UCUCGAUAGCGUCAAAGUUAACUCAACUUUGUAUGGAGUUGGAACGUUUGCUUACGUUUGUCGCUAGGGACGCUGUUCCGAACUGCAUACAAAUUUGAGUUAACUUUUACGCUAUCGA
rnacentral:pre_miRNA from 9 species